CCGGCAGAUAAAGAGAGUGAACGAGAGAGCUCUGCGCUUUCUUCGUUUUUUCGGCUGCGCGAACUUAUAUUUUGUCGUUGUAAUAUUUUGCAUAAAUAUAUAAAUUAACGCGCGUGACGAACAAACAAAAGUAAAGGCAAAAGCUAACAAAUCAAACGAAAUCCACAUAACUUUCAAGUGCAAAGUUUUCGGGCGUGCGUGUGAGUGUGUUUUCUGUGUUUUCGCGUAUUUUUGUGUGUGUAAAACGGAACGUGCAACAAGAAGCAAGAAGAAGAGGAAGUAGCAACAGCAGCUGACAAGCCAACAACAAGCAAGAUUUCCAAUAACAGUCACGAGUAAAUUCGAGGGAGUGUUAAUUGCUAAAAAAAAAAACACCAUACAGUAGAGACCGUUUGGCGGAAAGUGUGUUCCCAAUGCAUCCGAGAUACAGCCCCGCACCGCCCCCUCAACAGCAGCAACAGAUGGGUGGCGGACCACAUCCCCAGCAGGGCGGUGGCGGUGGAGGAGGCGGUAUGAGGGGGCCGGCGAACGCCCAGCAAUUGCCGCCACAAAUUCCGCGAUCCCAGAACUAUUCAAACGGGAGCUCGUCUAGCGCCGCCGCCGCACCACCAACACCGCGCAGCGCCUUCCCCGGCGCCCCGCUAACCGCCUCAGCCGUCGCACUCAAGGGCGCCCUACCUCAGCGUCCACCGGCCAUGACCAGUCCCGCUGCUGCCGCCGCUGGCGCCGCUUUGGCCGCUGGUGCUCCGUAUCGAGGCGCCGCCAGCUGGACCCCGCAGGGUUAUGCCCCAGCAGCUGCAGCUGCCGCAGCCGCUGUUGCCCAGCAGGCAGCAUACCGUUAUACGGCGCCGCUGCCCCAACCGGCGUAUGCCGCCUACACGCCGCACACGGCCACCACACCGGCCACAACCACGUACGGCCAGCGAGUGCCGACGGCAGCCUCACCGAGCAACACCAACUCGAGCAGCUCCUCGAACACAGGCUCCCAGAGCGGAACGCUGAGCACCAGCCUGAGCAACACGACGAAUACCAACACGAACAUGGGUCCCAACGGCACGGCACAGAAUCAAAACCAGCAGGGCGGCGAGCAGUUGUCCAAGACAAAUCUCUACAUACGCGGACUGCAGCAGGGCACAACCGACAAGGAUCUAGUUAAUAUGUGUGCACAAUACGGAACAAUUAUAUCAACCAAGGCUAUUUUAGAUAAAACAACAAACAAAUGUAAAGGUUACGGCUUCGUCGACUUCGAGCAGCCAGCCUUCGCCGAGUGCGCCGUAAAAGGACUGCAGGGGAAGGGCGUGCAAGCUCAGAUGGCCAAAGUGGGUAUCUGGGUGCUUCAUAGGCCGGCCAUUCAACAGGAACAGGAUCCCACAAAUUUGUAUAUUGCAAAUUUGCCGCCCCACUUCAAAGAAACUGAUCUGGAGGCAAUGCUAUCGAAAUACGGACAAGUUGUUUCGACCAGAAUAUUGCGUGAUCAGCAAAUGAACUCCAAGGGUGUUGGCUUUGCCCGCAUGGAGAGUCGCGAAAAGUGUGAGCAAAUCAUUCAGAUGUUUAAUGGUAACACAAUACCGGGUGCCAAAGAUCCCCUGCUGGUUAAGUUCGCCGAUGGUGGACCCAAAAAGAAGAAUCUCUUCAAGACCCCCGAUCCGAAUGCGCGUGCGUGGCGCGAUGUGUCAGCGGAGGGUAUACCCGUGGCCUAUGAUCCCACCCUGCAGCAGAAUGGAGUUAGCGUGAAUGUUGGCACACCCAUUGGUGUACCCUAUUCCCGUUUCAGUGCCCCCCAGGUGGGUGGCUAUCCAGUGACUGGCUCUCAAUGGAUACCCGGUUAUAUGAUGACCCAACCGAUCACUCAGGUAGAUGAUCAGUACAUGCAAAUGGCGGCUGCUCCACAAUUGGGAGUUACCUCGUACAAACCAGAGGCGGUGAACCAGGUGCAGCCACGCGGCAUCUCGAUGAUGGUCAGCGGCGAUACGGGCGUGCCAUAUGGAACGAUGAUGCCCCAAUUGGCCACUCUGCAGAUUGGCAACUCUAACUUUUCUCCAUCGUUACAGUAUAUUAGUCCAACUUACCCAUAUUAUGCACCACCACCAACUAUUAUACCAACAAUGCCAAUGACAGAUUCCGAACAGGCUAGCACAGCUGCAUCACCCGACGAGGCAUACACACAGUAUCCACAUCAAGCCGCUCCCAAAUAGGUCUUCGCGAGUACAGUUAUUAAGCAGCCUACUCACUGGUAACCCUUACUAGCUAUAAUAUAUUAGUACCCCAUUUGAGUACUAUAUAAAUCGGACGAGAGUGAGAGCACGAUGCCCGGUGGAAGCAGCAGAAAAGCCAAGGAGGAAAAUGAAGCGGAUCGAGAAUUAAUGAGGAUAAUGGAGUCAACAACAUCAACAACAACAACCACCACAUGAACAACAACAAACGACAACU